ACAGGGUGGGGGUGCCUCCGGUCGGGGGUAUUUUUAUGUCCAGGGAAACCACGGACCACCCCACUCGGCGCUCUGAUUACCAGGUUGGUUGGUGUGAAGGAGCCAAGCUGAUGCCCUAGUUCCCACACCCGCUUGCAGUUGUGGGGAAGAGAGCAGGGUUACAGUUCUGCUUUUCUUUGCUUUGGGUUUUGAUUGAGUGCCCUUGGUUUUGGACUCUGCCCCUAGCCUCUUGGUGACCUCGAGAAGCUGUCUGGUUGGCCUGCUCCUCCCGGGUGAGGCCUAGGGUGGAGCCCCUUCACCACUCACCAUCGCCUGGGCUCUGAGGAAGGCUGGCAGACACCCAGGAGGUUUCCUGCUGCCGGGCUGGGAGGAAUCAGAAGUCGUCUAUCGGACUUCCCUGGUGGUCCAGCGGUUAAGAACCCAUCUGCCAGUGCAGAGGACAUGGGCUCGAUCCCUGGUCUGGGAAGAUUCCAUGUGCCACGGGGCAACUAAGCCCAUGUGCCACAACUACUGUGGCCUGCAAGAGAAGCCACCGCAAAGAGAAGCCGGAGCACAGGCAUUAGAGAGUGGACCCCAGUCACCACAACUAGAGCAAGCCUGCACACAGCAAUGAAGACCCAGUGCAGCCAAAACAAUUAAUUAGUUAAAAAGAAAUGGCUCAAGGACCCUCCUGAGCCAACCUCAGGAGGUGGGACAAUGUGGCAGGGUGGUCAUCUUCUGCCGCCCCCUUCAGCCAAUCUGCACCUGUGCUCACCUUGCCUUCUCCCUCCCCUGAUGGGGGCUCAGGGUCCGCCUGUCCAAGCUGACCUCCCCAAGCUGAGCCCUGGGAACCCAAGUGACUCUCAUCUGCUCAGGAGCUGCCUCAUCUCAAAUCUCCAGUCCCAUCCACCUGACUGCCUCUGUCCCUUUGGCAUUUCAACAAACUCAAGGUCUCUCCACCUUGGAAAAAAAAAAGUGUGCCCCUGGUGAAGGAGGAAAAAGAACAGGCUCUGUCUUGAAAGCAGGAUUCCAUCUUGGGCCAGACUGUGGACUUUGAGCCACAAUCUCUGCGGUUUGCCCAGUAUCUAUGGAAACCACAUACCAACUGGAAAACCAGGCCCCCGGAAGGAAGAGCCCCAGGGCUCUCCAUCCCUAAAAGAAUACCCUAAUUAUCUGUGAAAUCGAAUAGAAUCAUAAAUUCUAUUAUGCUUAUUGGGGUAUGACCACAGGCCUAUUGAUAAUUGUCCACUGUUAACUACCUAGGCUUAAGGCAUAUGAAUCACAGGUUAACUUGGAUUGUAUCUUUCUUUUUCCUUUGUUCACACUAGGUUCAGGGAGUCUGGAGAGGUGGGUUUGGGCACAUAUGCUUAGGGUAUAUAAGGUUUUCACAAAAACUGGUUGGGGUCCUUGGCUAAGAAGAGACUCUGCCUUGUGCCCUCCGGUGUAAUAAACUGAACUCCACUAUC